AUUGCUGCAACAUCCACAGCUUUUUUGCUCGCUCCCCUAGUGUUGGUAAACUAUUCACCGUAGUGAGCGAAGUUCAUUUUAGUUGUGGAUUCAAGAUGGCGUACUAGUUCCAGCUCAUAGUUCAACCGGCAGCAGACUGACGUGCAGCGCGUACAAUUUUCGCUGGAGAAAUUUCGCAAUUUCGCAACUUAUUCAGAGAAUCACGGCAACCACGAGCUGGCGCUGGCAUUCCCGCGUAUGCUUGCAAUAAAGCAGCGCACAAAGUACGUUGCGACUACUUUACCGACUGCUUUGACUGCUUGCUGGUGACCACCGACGUGCGGCGUGUCUUCUGCUGCUCGUUUAUCGAAGCCUGCAAUUUCU